ACUUGACCUGUAUAUCAAGUUCAAAUGACCUCCUCUAUACAUCAACUGUUCCAACGCCUAUUACAGCAAACAUUAAUAGCAUCCAUGGUGCAACAUCAUCUAUUGUCGGAACAGAGAACUUAGAGAGAAAUUUAACCAGUGGGAAUCAAAUCAAUUUAGAAUUUGAAAAUGUAUAUCAAGCCAGCAAUUUGUCUCUUUGUCCAUCUCUUCUUGGUGUCACUAAUGGUAUUGAAAGUAUAGUAACGACUACAAUUAGGAUAUCAAAUUCAAAAAGUAACCUUAUCCCUAAUACUCAGUCAGCCUUUGCGGGAUCACUUUUAGGGCAGGCCUCAUCUUCUACACUAUGUGGGCUGCAAAAAGAAAUUGAGCUAUGUCCUAAGAUUUUGGAGCCUCUAGAUGGGAUAAUGUCUUCUCUUAAAGAAAAGUCUAAAGAAGCCUCUGAUUUUGAGCAAAUAUUUGAAGAUAAUGACAAACUUCCUUAACAAAUUCUUUGCAAACUUCUCAGGAAGCAACUACGUCCUCUUAUGGAAUUGAGGAUGUACCUGUUCAGUGUUUUGAUGUAAUUUCUACAAAGGUAGACGCACCAUUGCAUGUUAUAGAUUGUCCUCUAGUUCCACAACAGAUGAAAGGCUUUCGAAUGAAAAUACCAGAGGAGUCUGAUGAUGAGGACCAUGUAAGCAACAAUGGUAGUGGAGAUUCAGCUCUCCAUUGUUUUGAUGCAAGUUCUUCAAAGGUGGACAUUUAGAAAUUGGAAAAAUAUCUAUUACACAUUUUUCCACCAUACUCUUCAGAUUUGUAUCCUAUAUAUGCUGCUUGAAUUGAUCUUUCAGAAGAUGUGGAACAGAUUUGAGUUGCAUCCAUUUGUGUUUUCACCAGAAGCUUCUCCACGGACUCAAACGACUUCCUCACCUAGCACAAAAGGCCAAACCCAAUCAAGCAAAAGGCAUGGAAGUUCCUCCAAAAUGGGGUUACUCCUACACGAGCAUCAACAUUUUAUCAUGAGCUUAGAGACAUUGGCAGAAGCCACACACAACUUUCCUGAAAAUAACAAGCUUGGAGAGGGCGGCUUUGGACCACCAUACAGGGUGGCAUUAUGUCCAUUAGCAUCCUGAACUGAUUUAACACUGGCGUCAUAGAUCAAUUAGGAUUUUUUUCUUUAUAUAAUACGGAUUCAUUCUCAAAAGAGAGUGAAUCGGCGGUUUCUAAUCCAGAUUUGGUUUCAAGAAUGGUCGGUUGAUAAUGGCUAGCACACAAGUUGUAAUUUGAAGUUUACAUUGUAACACUUCCAUAAAUUGUGUUGCAUCAUAGCAAGCAUGCCUUCUUCUUAAUCGUCAUUUCUACUUGAACGUGCAAAUUUUGCUAUAAAUUUCUCGCACAUUUGAUGUACAAGUUUUACUGUAGGUU